UCGUAUAUUUUUUCCUCUACGAUGUUUAAAAACAGAAGGAUGCAGAGGUGCAUGUAAUACACCAUUCUUUGCUGAACCUCCUGAGAGCGAAGUUCAGGAACAUUUCCAGGUCUGCUAGCUACCUUUUAACAGCUCAGCCUGUAAGAGGAGGAUGAUUUCCAUCAGCAGUGUAUUGUUGGCUGUUCCCAUCAUACGUGUGCCACGGGAAGAUUGUGUAACCACUAUUCUCUGGAGCCAUGGUCAUAUUUGUAUGCCAGCACACGUUGAUAAAUGUGGGCAGAAGUGAUUUAGGGAAGGUCUCACAGAUAAACUGAGAAAGAACGAUUUCAUCUCCCUAUUUUAACUCCCUCAGAGACAGACAUCGCUUUUGUUUCUCCUCCAGUGUCCAAUCUUGCAUAAGCAGCAAAGUGAGAAGAGAAGGAGGGGAAUUUGGCCUAGUCUACAGUGUGUCUUCAAUAAAUGGCCAGCAGUCAUGCAUAUAAAAACUUUCACGAUGUGUGGAACCUGAGUGGAAGUCUGGACAAAAACUUGUCAGCUCACUGAAAAGUGUUCUCAGGAGAACAGGGUUGUUUAUCAAGGUCGUCACUCCAUACCUCAUCAUUUAGCAUCUAUAAGAAAUCUCCAAAAUGUUGCAUAACUGCAUUGACGUGAGUUACUGGAACCAGGUGAAACAGAGCACAGGCAGGCUUUGUGCAGCUACUCUUUGGGGGUGUGUUUGAUAAAGGGAAACUCCUUCUAGUCCUGUGAAUGUUUGGCAGUGACUGGACUGAAGGAUGGCAUGAGGAACCGCUGAUAGACAGACAAUCACUGGAGUAUGAAGAUCCAUGGACAGUAAAGGCGGCUUAUAUACAGAGAGUAAAAGAACAUGGAAAAAACACUUUGAAGAAAUGCCUAUAUACAAAAAUUGAAGAAGACUCAGCACAGACAAAACCGCCAGACAGAAACCACCAGAGUGAUGAACUGUGCAAACCUGGGUACAAGACAACUGCUCCAAACCUGCGUAUGAGACAGCUGCUUGACAGCAGAAUGAUGAUUGCUUGACCUCGUUUGUAUCCACCUUGAAUCGAGUCCUCUCCCUGUUUUCCCUUAGGUAACUGUCUCAAAUUACUCCCUCUUGCUGGACUAUGCAAGCAAACGAAAUCAGGAGAGAAAGGGCGAAAAGCUGGUGGGGAGAAAAGGGCAGAAGAACCUGUGUGCAGCAGAUCACACCCUCCUGCACAGCCUGCACUAGGACCCUCAGUUCUUGCUUUUGCCUGCUCCAUGACUGCAACAGGAUGUGACUUAAACUGAUCCUGAAGGCAAAGAGGCUUAAGUUUUGGUGGCUGAAGUGGAGAGUGAGUUCUGAAGAGGAAGGUCCUCUGCAGAAAAAGCACCCUGCGGACUUCAGUUUUCUAACUCCAAAGUCAAAGCAUUCCAAUCCACCAUUAACAAGGAAAAUAACACAAGAAGCAUGAGUCUAGAGGCCUCAGAUUGCUGAAGGGAGUAUGGGCAAGCAGCAGAUGGUGAUCCUGCUAAAGAAUAAGACCUCUCUUUUAUGGAUCUUUGGGCUCCAGAGAGUAUUCCCCAUCCAUUAAGGAGAAAGGUGAAGAAGGAGGUGCCUUCUUCAGGACUGAACCCAUAGAAUUGUACUUCAAAAUCCUACUCCUAUUACACCUACAAAGGUUGGUCUGUGUAUACAGCAUUGGACUAUAUUCGCAGCUAUACCAAUGGGAAAAUGCAAAUAAUCUGAUGCCACAACUAAAAAGGAGUUACUCCUUUACAAUGGUGUCAAUGAAAGAAUAAUUUUCCAAAACAGAAAAAAAAACCCAAACCCAAGCCACAGCAAAAGUGGUAAGAAAACAUGAGAAACAGUAUCUUCAGUCAAGUUGUGAAAAGAGAUGGUAUUCUGGCGAAGAAAAAAUACAGAAAGUUGUCUUGCAUCCCAAGGGCUGCAGCAGUAACAGUGAGUCACUGGGACAAAGAUUAAAUGAGAAAGAAGACCCAAUGGUAAGGGAGAAAGUGAAAGAAAAUUCAGCAUUAUGAAUGGGGGUUGUCAUGAUUUAAACCAGUAUCUACACAACGCGAUAGAAAAAAUUGCUUAAAAACACCACCAAAGGAAGUCAAAGUCAUGCAAGAAGGUUGUGGAGAGAUAGUGAGAACCAGUGAUGCAUGAUCUAGUGAGUUACUGUAUAUGGGAAUAAUCCAAAAGACUUAGUACUUCUCUUUACAUCUUAAAAGCGUUGCAGGAGGCUCUCAGCAUGCAGCAACCACCAUCUAGCUAAAUCCUUUCAACUAUGAACAUAAUCUUCAAAAAAAUUAGCUCCUUUCCUGACAAAGUCAAGUGUAAAAGAGCAAACAGAGAUAUGCUAUUAAAAAAAUCACAGGAAGUGUUGAUUGAAUGAAUGUUUAAGGAAUAGGCAACUGUGUAUUAAAAUGUUUUUUCCAUUUA